UAUCAAUUGCCAGCAGUUCAGCUGUCCCCUCUCUCAACUGCCACGUGCCGCUCCUGCCCUCUGCCUUGGAGCUGCCCCCGGGGAGCCUCCUGCUUGAUGCGGGAUGUGUCUGUGUGUGU